rnacentral:rRNA from 1 species
CCUACGGGAGGCAGCAGUGGGGAAUAUUGGACAAUGGGCGAAAGCCUGAUCCAGCCAUGCCGCGUGUGUGAAGAAGGCCUUUGGGUUGUAAAGCACUUUCAGUGGGGAAGAAAGCCUUGGGGCUAAUACCCUCGAGGAAGGACAUCACCCACAGAAGAAGCACCGGCUAACUCCGUGCCAGCAGCCGCGGUAAUACGGAGGGUGCGAGCGUUAAUCGGAAUUACUGGGCGUAAAGCGCGCGUAGGCGGUCUGAUAAGCCGGUUGUGAAAGCCCCGGGCUCAACCUGGGAACGGCAUCCGGAACUGUCAGGCUAGAGUGCAGGAGAGGAAGGUAGAAUUCCCGGUGUAGCGGUGAAAUGCGUAGAGAUCGGGAGGAAUACCAGUGGCGAAGGCGGCCUUCUGGACUGACACUGACGCUGAGGUGCGAAAGCGUGGGUAGCAAACAGGAUUAGAUACCCGAGUAGUC